rnacentral:lncRNA from 1 species
UUACUUUGGACUAAUUAUCAAGUUUGGUGAGGAAACACAUCCAUUAGCCAAGUUGCUAAAAACCAUUUUUGAUCAUGGAUUCAUUGCACAGAAAGGAAGGAGUACCUCAAAAUUAAGGCUCGAGGGACUGUUCAUUCACAUAGAAAACAAACCACAUUCAGAUAAUAGGGGUUCAGAGAACAUGGACUGCUCGCAUUCGGCCAUGUACCAUCAAAAAGCUGAGCCGCAGGAUGUUGAGGGGUCCCAUAUGUCUACUGUGUCCCGUCGCAUGUCUACGCUAAGGUAAGAGACUUCUUUUCUGUAUUUAGACUCCUAUUAUCUAAUUAAUUUUCAUGAUACAAAUCAAAAUAAUAUGUAAUAAUAAAAAUAUUAUUUUGCAAUAUACGAAAUGAUCGUAUGCAAUUCUGUAAUCCAUCUUAGUCCUAUGCUUGGAUUAGUGAGAUUCCUAAAGAGAAAUUGAAGAAGAUAUAAACUCAAGUGGUAAAUUUUAGUAUUACUUAUCAACACAAUUCCAAUUUAAAAUGUUUUUGGUGGGUUUAGGUUCGAUAUAAUUAUGUUUCAAUUCACGUUAAUUUAUAUAAUUUAUUUAUUUAGUGAAUGUUUGGUAAAUCAAUUUAAUAACUUAAAAUGACUUAAUAACUUAAUUUAAAUCAUCAAGUAAAUUAAAUUUAUUUGAUAAAAUAACUUAAUGGAAUAACUUAAAGUAAAAAUAAAUAAAUAAAUAAUAAAAAAAUAAUUAACUUAUUUUAAGUUCACAUUUUCAUUUUAUCUUCUUAUUUACAUUUACUUUAAUUACCUCUAUGAUCUCUUUUACUGUUCCACGAGCUUUAUUGUUAAUCAACUUCCUUUACUUUAAUUAUAAUUUAUGAGGAUAAAUAAGUCAUUUUGAUGAUUUAAAGUAAAUUUAAAAAAGUUAAUUUUAUCAAACAACUUUAAUACUCAAAAUAAGAAGUAAAUAAUAAGUUUUAAAUCAAUAACUUGAGUCAUUAAGUAAUAAGUGUUAAAUUUUAUCUAACACCCCUUUAAUAAAUAAAUAGUUUUUGGAUUAAUCUAUAAAAGACGGAUUUAAUUUGAAUUUAUCCAUUUAAUAAUCAUAUUGAUUAACCUAAUUAUAACUCUAAAUUAUUUAACAUAUAUUUUGCUUAUUUUAAAUUUGUUUUUGGAUAAAUAGAUUGAGUAAGUCAUAAAUAUCUCUAAUUGGAACAUUAAUUAUUUAGACUUAUAUGAGACCUAACACAACCCGAUUAUUAAAUAGAAGAACAUAAUUAUUUAAUAGGAGUUUAUUAUUAAAUAGGUUGAAGAUUAUGAUUGAGUGGAACGUUUACAAAAUGAACCUCGUAAUUUCAUAAUUAAUUUCGUUAAAAUACGCAUAUAAGAGCUGUCAAAUCCAAAAGCUUCUUACGUUCAUCCUCUCAUGGAUAAGUGUGUCGCGCAAUGACAAAGAUAGGGAGAUUCUUUAAUUCCUUCUCAUUAUUCAAUGGGUGGCGAUGUUCAACAUAACCACGUCUUCUAUCUUCGUCCCCAUCCCAUUGAGAAAAAUAAAGAGAGGCCGAUGUGGAAAGAGAAAAAAAAAAUGAUGAGCGUGCUCCCGAGUGUAAUUUAAAAACAGUUUUUUUUUUUUUUUUUUUUUUUUUUUUUUAUGUUUUUGGUGAAACAAAAUAUUAUUUUUUUUAAAAUUCAUAACUGUUUGUUUGUUAUUUUCUAUUUUUAGUCUUUAAAAGUAAAGUAAAAUAGAUGAUAAUUUUUUAAAAAUAAGUAAAAAUUACAGGUUGGUUAUUAUGUUUUUUGAAAUUUGUUUUUUAAUUUUUUUUAAUUAAAUAACAAAAAAAUAAUAUUUUAUAAAAAUAAGGGUGUUAUGCAUAUUGUUUUUAAAAACAAAUUUUAAAAAUAAAAAACAGAAAACUUGUUUUGAUAAAUUGUUUUUAAAAAUUAUUAGAUUUGUUAAUGAAUCUAACGUAUUAAGUUUUGUUUAAUUUGGAAUUUAUUUUUCAUAUAAAAAAUUGAAAAAUAAUGAUUCUAUGUAGAAGAAAAAUAAUAAAUUUAUUUUAAACUAAUUUUUAUCCAUAAUUUUUUAAUAUUAAUUAUUUUAUUAUUUGAAUUUUAAGCUAUUUUUAAAAAAUUAGUAGACUACAUUAAGUCUAGCUUAAUUUGGAGUAUAUUUGUCUAAUAAAAAAAUUUGUAAAUAUAUACAUAUAAGAAUAAACUAACCUAGUCACCUAGUUAUUUAUACUAAAUUUUGGUUUAUGACUUUGUAAGAUUAUUGGUUUCUAUAACUUUUUAGUAGUAAUUAAUUUAAUUUUUAAGUUUUUAAUUAUUUUUAAAAGUUAAUAAAUUUCAUCUAUCAAUUACAGUUUGAUUUUGAAAUUUAUUUGUUUAAUAAAAGAAUUUUAAAAAGUUAAAAGAAAUUUAUUUGAAGAUUUUUUAUACUAGUAUUAAAUCGAGGAGAGUGAAAAGGAAUGUUCAAUUUUAUUUUAUUUUUCUUUUUUUAUAGUUUUUUAAAAAAAAAAUUAUGUUUUCCUUUGUUUUUAAAAAUAGGUGAAAAUAACUUUUACUUAUUAUCUAAAAACUACUCUUUAUUUCACUUUAUUUUUAAAAAUUAUUUCUAGAAAACAACAAAUAAGUUGUGUUAGAAAUUUUUAAAAAUAGUUUUCUAUUUUUUAAAAAUAGAAAAAUGUUUUUAAAUCACAUGACUAAAAAGACUUAAUUUUUUGUUACAAUUUUUAAAAACAAAAUAAAAAGAAAAAAAAACGAAAUUAAACAUGAUAUUUUUAUUUUUCUCUAUCCACUACUCAAUAUCAAUACUGAAAAUCUUCAAAAUGAACUUCUUUUAAAUUACACUUGUUUUUUUUAUAAAAAAAAAAAAAUUCCUUUUAACUUCUCUAAAAAUUUUAUUAAGUAAAUAAAUUUCAAAUUAAAUUAUACUUAAUACAUAAAAUUUAUAAAUUCAAACUAUACCAAAAACUAAUUUAAUCAAUACAAUAAUCUCAUAACGUUGAAUAAGAUUAGAAAGUCAUAAACCAAAAUUUAUUUUAAAUUUCAAAUAUAAUGAUAUUUUGUUGUAAAAUUUUUUAUUAAACAAAUAAAUUUCAAAUAAAGCAAGAUUUAAUGUCUUAGAUUCAUCAAUAAAUCUAAUAAAUUUUCAACCAACAUUAAAAAAAAAAAUUAUAGACAAAAAUUGGUUUAAAAUGACUAUCAUUUCUUUUCUAUAUAAAACCAUUUUUUUUCUAAUUUUUUCACUUGAUGAAUAAACUCCAAAUUAAGUAAAACUUAAUGUGUUUGAUUUAUUAACAAGUUUAGUAUUUUUUUACAAAUGUAUGGAUAAAAAUAAGUGCAUAAUGAUUUUAUUAUUUCUUUUCUACCCAUAAUUAUAUUUUUAUAAAAUUUUUCACUCAAGAAAUGACUACUCCAAAUCAUGUGACAAUUUAUGUUGAAUUUAUUAAUAAGUUUAAUAAUUUUUAAAAAUAAUUUAAAACUUUAAAAAUGAUUAAAUUAAUCAUAUAUUAAAUCAAAACAUUCAAGAAUUUUUAAUAAGUUUAAUAAUUUUUAAAUAUAAUUUAAAACUUAAAAAAUGAAUAGAUUAAAUAAAAAAAUUCUAGAAUAUGUAAUUGAACACUAAAUGUAUGCAUAUAAUAAAAAGCUUGACUCAUUUAUGUAUGAAAAUUUUUAUUUUUUUUAAUUCAUUUUAAAUAAAAUAUUAUUAACAAUUAUCAUUAUUUAUUUUAACAAAAAAAUUUCAAUUAUUCUUGUAUGGAAAUGUUUGUGAAAAAUGGUUAAUUAAAUUUUGUAAAUCAUCCAAAGGGUGAUGAAUGGUGAAUUGGGUGUUAAAAACUUUUCAAAAUUAAUCAAACUAAAACAAAAUAACAAAAAUGAUUAAAAUGAUAAUAAAUAAGUCAGGAUAAGGAAAAAAAAAUGUGCAAACUCUUUUAUAGUGGUUUAGCAAUAGAACUACAUUCAACCUCUUCAAUCUACUAACUGAAUGAGAGUUUCACUAUCAAGGUUUCCGACGCAAACCUUUAAGCUUUACAAUUAUAUUCAUGAGUUCCAUUAAACAAUUACAAUCCCUUUAAGUACUCCACCUACUUAAAAACUUUUCACUCAAAAUGAGUAGAUAAUCAAAGUUUUAAUACUUCCAUCUAAGUAUAAGUUUAGCUCACAAUACAAGGGAAGUUAGAAUGGAUUUGAAAUGUGCACUAAGGAAUUUGCAAGUUGAAAAUCAAUGCACUUGUAAGAAGACCUUUGAAUAUGAGAAAAAAGAGUUUUUCAAUUGAAUGUUAUUGUUCUCUUCUUCAUAAAUAUAGCGGAGCUCUUCAAUUUAUAAGUUUUCAGCUUAGGAACCCAAAAAGCCACAAAGCAUCUCAAAUCGACCUCUGGUUUGAUCAUUUGAUUAGUCGUUAAACAUUAAAUGUUUUACAGGUAACCAUUGGAGUUUUUAAGCUCAAUCAGAUGUUUGAUUAAUCAAGGUAAAGUCUCAACUAGCUAUACACCUACCACUAGAAAAGAGAAAAGAAAAACUUAGAACCUCGAUCAACCCUUAAUCGGUCAAGCCCAAUUGGUUGAGUUGGCUCCGUAGUCAAUUCAACUAGUUCUAGGCACCCUCAACCAGUUGCACCUAAAAGUGCCUAAAAAGACUCAAUUUAAGCUUUGAAACUUCCAAUAACUUGUGUAAUCCUUUUGAAAACCUUUUGAAGUUAGUUUAGAAAGAAUUUGACUCAAAAUUUUGAAAUAAAAUAAAUAUUCAUCCAUAUUUGUGAUAAAAAAAAAAAACAUCAUUUUUAAACUUAAAUGAGGAUGAAAACUAGCUUUUUAGUGCAUAAAUAAAUAAAUAAGCAUAAGUGUACCAACAAAUAUUAUCUUACAUAUUUGCUUAAGAGACUUCAAGUCUUCAAGAAAUCUAAGCCUUUGUGAUAUUGAUUGCCUUCCAUAUUUGUUUAAGCUUUUUUUAGAUUUUUUUCAUUUUAACCUGAAAUUUUUCUUGAGUUAAACUGUUAGUUAACUUAAUCUUGUUUUAUAAUAAUUAAAACUUGAUUAGGAGAACUCUUGAACCGACAAUGUUAAUAUCCAGAUUAUACUAAAAUAUUAUGAUUUUAUUAUAAUAUCAUUAUUCAUAUUUUACUAAAAAAAUUAUUUAUUUUUAAAUUUUCUUGUAAUUACAAAAAAAAAAUUUAAUAAAAAUUGAAUUAAAUUUAAUUAAUAUUAUAUAAAUUAAAUUUAUAAUGUUUUUAUGAAAUCAAAAUAGAAAAUUAAUUUUAAAAAUAAUUUAUUCAAAUAAGCUUUUUGUUUUUUUUUUCUGAAAAUUGUUUUUAGAAAUAAUAUGCCAAACACCCUUAUUUUUCAUAAAAUAUUAAAAAAACUAAUUUUUAUUUUUUAACUUAGAAACAACUUUCAAAAACAAAUAUCACAAAACAUGGCCAAACAAGACGAACUUAUUUAAUAUAUUGUUCUCAUUUGUGUUCUAGUUUUUAUAAUUGAAAAUAGAAAAACUAACAGCAUCUUUGUUCUUAAAAAUUAAAAUUAAAAAAAAAACUAUAUUUAAGAUUCAAAAACCCCUCCGAUAAUGUGUUUUUAUAUAUAGAAAAUAAUUUUUUGAAAACUUGUCCUAAAAUAGAGUUUUUUAAUAAUAAAUUUUAAUUAUUUUCACUUAUUUUUAGGACCAUUUUAAAAAUAAUAAUAAUUGUAUAAAUAUAAAAAAUUAUUUACAAUAAAACUAUAUAUAUAUAUAUAUAUAUAUAUGAAAGUUAUUUUUAGAAAAUACUUGGAAAUAUUAAAAAUAAAUUGAGAAUAUUUUUUAUUUUAAAACAUACCUUUAUUCUUAAAAACAUUAGAGAAGUACUUUAAAAAUAGUUUUUGAUAAAUAUUUUCAAAAGCGUGCCCAAACAUAUCCUAUGGAUUAGUUUGAGACUUUUUAACUUUAAAAAUAAGUUUGUGAUUUUUUUUUUAUUGAAAGGAGUUUUUUGAGAAUUUUUUUAAAAUAGAUUUUUUUUAUAAUAAAAUUGAGAUGUUUGUAAGUGUUUUUUAUGGAAUAUUUCAAGAAACAAUUGAAUACAUGUAGAAUACUUUGACAACUUUUAUAUUGUUUGUUCAUAUUUGAGUUUUUAAAUAAAAUUUUACUCUUAAAAAUAAUUGAAAUCCAUGUUUAAGAAUGGAUAUAAAAAAAUGUUUUAAGAAAAGUCAUCAAAGAAGCUUUUAAAUUAUAUUUUAUUUUCAUUUUGGAAGGCUUGGAAGUGCUUUCAAAAGCUUGUAAGCACUUUCCUUUCAAAAAAUUAAGGUAUGAAUUGAUAACUAAUUUUUAAAACAGUUAUAAAAAAUAGUUUUUAAGAAUAAUUUUUAAAAAAUUAUUUUAUGAUGUUUUAUAAAAUAAAAACCUGUUUAAGAAUAUGAAAUGUUUUUAUCUUAUUUUUCAUAUUUUUAAAUAUGUUUAAAAAAUAAAUUUUAUAUCUAGAACUUUAUUUUUAAUUAUUAUAAAAUAUUUAUAUAAUUAUUUUUUAAAACAGUUUUCACAAAAUAAAUGAAAACAACUAAAAAAAUCUUCUUUUAAAUACCUUAUUUUUUAUUCUUGAGAACAUAAAAAAAAAAAAAAAAACAGUUUUCUGAUUGUCAAAUAUAUUUUUCAAUUUUUUUAUUUUGAAAAAUAGAAAAUUGUUCUAAAAAAAAUCUCGAACAAACCCCAAGGGUUGACCAAAAUUUUUACUUUAAAAUGAUUCUUUCACUAACACUUGAUUGGUAUUCUUUCUAAAAAUCCUUUUUUAAUAGUUUCUAAUCAUAUCACAUUUUAGUACAAAUUAAAUUUAUAUCCAAAAAUUAGUUGAUUCUCCAUUUUUUUACAAAUAAAAAAAAAUGCUAGUAAUAAAAGUGCUAUAAAGAAAUCAUUUUCACCUAAAUAAUGCUCAAAGAAUCCUAAGUAACCAUUCUUAUUAAAAUAAAUAAUUGCAUGAAUUUUUGAAACAAAAGAAGAGGAAAACUGAAUAGCUAAAAUUAAAGAGAAAAAUGCACCAAAUAUUAUGACCUAUGCAUAGAAAAGGAGAGUGAGCUUGACUGCUUAGCUACACGUCUUCAAGAGAAAUUGGUAGAAAUUAAGCUUAAGCAAGCAUGCGUAUACCCUUCAUUUUUCCUCUGCCUGUUCCCUAAUUUGUCAAAAGAGUAUUGAGUGUGGCCAUGGGGAUAUUCAGAUUAAUGACCAUUUCCCAUCAAAGGGCAACAGGCUCCGAAGAUUAAUGGAAAGUUGCUUCCCUCAAAAUCCAAACCUUUUUGGUUCCCAGCCAGGAAUUAUAUUUGGCUUAGCUUUCAGAUUUGACGCUUUACUAACAUUUGGAUUUUUCUUUUUUUCUUGCAUCAAUCUUACUCUACUUCUUCGAGGUUCCAUUUCAUUUUCUUAUUAGUUUAUCAUGAGUUUAAGCGACUUGAGUGCAUCCUAGAAAUAUUUUAAUAAAAGUUUUAAAUCUAUUUUUAUAAAAAAAAUUCUCUUUUUUUCAUAUUAUUUCAAUUAAUAAAUAUUUUAUCUAAAAAACAUUUUUAAAAUAAAUUAUUUUCACCAACUUACUAAAUUUGUUUACACCUUUUUGGUAAUAAACUUUACCAACAAAUCAUUUCUAAUAAAAAAUUUCAAAAUAUUCCACUUUAUGAGAUUUUGAAACUUUGAGAGCAUCUUGUCAAAGUAGAAAAUUUUAAUUCUUCAAGGAUUCUCAAAAAAAGUAUUAUAAAUCCUUGAAAAUAAAUUUAGAAAAGAAUUUUACCUCUUAUAUUCCAAAUUCCUCAUGACAUUUACUUUUUGUAUUUUCAUGAUAAUUUAUUUCAUUAAAAAUUACCAAAAACGUAAUCUUUGGUAAUUUCUUUAUUGAUAAAUUAUCUAUCUUGAAAGUUUUUAAAAAUGAUUGAUUCUCUAAAUUAGGAAUCGGUGUAAUAAAGAAAUUUUUUUCCUAAUUUACAUUAUUCCAAAAUUUAAUAAAUAAUUUUUUUUUUCGAAUCCAAUUUUCAAGAAAAUCUAUUUCCAUUAAGAAUUACUAAAAACUUCUAGAACUAUUUUGAUAAUCAUUUUUAAAAUAAAUUAUUGAGGAGAGUUUUCAAAUUCUUUAUUCAUUUCUAUAUCAGAAUACCUGAUUUAAAAAUGUAUUGUUUUCUUAUUCCUUUUCAAACUGUCCUUAUCCAAUAUCCUCCUUCUCUCAUGCAAAAGUCCAAAGGACCACCUAAGUAUCAUUAUCCUUUUCUUAAAGGAGAAAAGUUGAAGAACCACUAUCUAAAACAUAAGGAUUGUUCAAAAGGAAUGUUUAGCAAACUUAACUACUAACUUUCAAUUUUCAAUGAAUAAUUUCUCAUAAAAAAUUAUUUUUCAUUAAGAAUAUCAAAAUAGUUUACUUUAUGCUAAACAAAUGCAAUUAAUAGAAAUAGCACAAAAUAAAAAUGAGGAAAUAAAUAAAUAUUUCUCUAUGGUCUUUAGAUAUUCUAUCACAAAUUUUGUUAAUCAUAAUUUGGAAUCACAAAAAUUCACAUUUUAUCAAAAUACCUUUACAACAAAAAAUAAGAUUAUGAAACAAAAAAAAAAAAAAACCCUAAAACGCCCUAAAGCUGUCAAUCUGCUACUACUAGGAACACUUAAGCACCAAAAGUGCAUGAAGGCCACUAGAACCACCUUGGAGUGCUUGAGCAUCCCACUCGAGUAUUAGAUAAGUAUUUGAGCGCUACAGAUUCCUUAAGCACUAAUGGAAGCACUUAAGAGUUGUCGUAUACAAUUGUGCAACUAAGGGCUUUCCUCCAUCUUUUUCGACUACUUUCCAUAAAAAAUCUCACCUUUGCUGACUGGUUUCUUCACUAAGGAUGCUACUAGGAUAUUGGAAUGCAAUCUUUCUCUUCUUGGAUUACUAUAGAUGGAUAAAAAAACCUAUGCUCCUCAAAAACAAAGCUUACAACCCAUGAACAAAAUUUGGUUUUUCAUUCAAAUAUAAAAUCCUAUACUCCUAACCGUAAGGCUAUGUUUGGUCUCAGAAAAUUUGAAAGAAAAUGCAAGGAAAAGAAAAUACAAAUGAAAAGUAGAAGAAAAAUAAAAAAAUAAAUUAAAAGUUGAUAAAUUAUUUUUUUUGUUACUUCAAACUCAUUUUAUUUAUUUUAACUUAUCUAUAUAAAGAUUAAAUAAUUUAAAAAUAUAUAAGUUUUUAAUUAGUUUUAAUUAUAUUUGAUUUUCUCUGAUAUUUUUCAUAGGACAACCAAACAUGAAAAAAUCAUUUUAUUCUGUAUUUUUUUUUUCCUUAGUAUUUUCCGGGAACCAAACAUAACUUAAAGCUUUUAACCUAAUAUAAGAGAAAGAAAAUGCAGACAUCACAUCUAUCCAUAUUUAUAUAAAUUAGCAUCCAUGCAUACAUCCUUCCGGAAAAACUCUACAAUCUUGAAUGGAUAUAACAUGUUUUUCCCUAAUUACGUAAGGCUUUGAUAUUGGUUAUUGGAAUCUUUGGAUUGUCGUAUUCGAAACCUUGGACCAUUAGGGUAUUAUGCAAAAGCUAUCCUAAUGCUCUUUAGAUCUAGGCACAAUGAAAAAUAUGACAAUAAAAAAAUAAAUAAUAAAUAAAUAAACCCAUCAAUAACCAUAGAUCUAAAGAUAAAACUUGUUAUAUGUAUACUUCCAAAUCUAUUCCAGUUGAUGAAGAGAUUCAAGUACACCUUAUGAUACUUGUGUGAAUGAUACACCCAUGCAAGUUGCCUCCUUACAUGAUAUCUCAUAAGCACGCCUUUCUUCCUUGUCACCAUACCUCCCACGUAAGCAUGAAAAUUUGGCAGCCAAAAUUUUGGAUAUCCCUAGCAAUUGAUAAGAUAUUUCAAUGGAAAAAUCAACUGUGCUAAUUUUUGUUGAUUUUCCUUAUAUUUUAAUAUUUUUCAUCUUUUUUAAGUUUUUUAUCGAUAUUUGAAGAUUUUCUUCAAUUUUUCAACCCCCAUCCUCGUCCUCUAACACAAAAAAAAGGUGUUAAUUACUCGACUAAUUCACCUUUAUCAAUUAGGUUAUUUGAUUAAAAGGGUCUUUCCAAUUUUUGAAAUUUAAUCUUUCAUUUUUUUUAGUCCCAUUUUCACAAUAAUACCCUCACUUUUUUCUUGUAGAAAUAACAUUUUCUUUUAAAACCUACGAGUAAAUACUUAAAAUGAUAAAGAGCAUUUAUGUCCAAAUUGGGUUAUUUUUCUAAAAAAAAAAUUGGGAUGGUUAAAUUCAAAAAUUUAGAGAUUAUUUUAUCCCUUUUAACCUAUUAAUUCUUAUCAAUUUACAUGAUAAUAUUAUAGAUAUAGUAAAGUCAUUUUCUCUUAUUUUAAUAAAAAAGAAAAUUCUAGAAGUGAAUAUAGUUUUAAUAUAUUCCUACAAAAUAAAAAUAAAUAUUGAAAGAAAAUGUUAAUAGUAAAUUAAUUUUAAUUAUCUUAUAUUGGAAUCCCAAUUAUUAAAAAUUUAAAACCAUUAUCAUAAAUUUUUUAAUGAGUGUUUCUUUAUUCAUUUUUAUAUAUUAAUUAAAUAUAAGAUAAAUAUAAACUUGAAAAUAAAAUUAUAAACAUUUAAAAAAAAUCAUGCAUAUACCUUUUCUUUUGUACUUUCAAAUACAUUAGAUAUCUCUCGAAACAACGUUUUGCAAGGAUAUCUUACCAUGAUGUUUAUAUGCAACAAUCUCUAGGUUAACUCUCAAUUUCUAAGCCAUGUGUGCAAAUUAAAGAAAAUAAUUUAUAGUCGGCGACUAGUGUCAAGAGCUUGGUAUAAUGAACUUUAGGACUUUCUAGUGUCUCAUUGCUUCAUUAAUACUAAGUUUGAUCCAUCAUUAUUUAUUUACAUACAUGGAAAAAUCCGUUCCUUUUCUUCUUGUCUAUAUCGAUUACAUUCUCAUUAUAAGUCAUUCUAGUACAUGAACCAACAUUUUAUGGGUUAUUGGAUAGUUAUAAGAUAUGUUCUUCUCUACCGCAAAGUUACCUUGGAUCACUAACUUCUCAUUUGAAGUGCCUAUUCGAUCAAUGCUAACUAAGCCAAACGAUUUAAAUAAUUGCACUUCUACAUCUACCCAUAUUGUUUUCUUUGGUGCUACUUUCAUUAGUUAGAGGUCUAAGAAGCAAAAAAAAUAAUCGCUCAAUCCUCCUUUGAAACUAAGUACUAACACUAAUUAAGCUUAAUUGGAUUCAAGAGUUGUCUCAUGAGCUUCAUUUUCUUGCUCCCAACCUUUGUGGAUAUCAUCCACACUUGGGCAUUGGCUUCGAUAUAUAUUGUAACAACUCAUGUGGCCUUGUAAUUCUCACUUGUCACAAUCAUGACUCAUAGAAAACUUGUUUGAUCCGUGUGUGAUACAUUCUCUUUCAUGAUAGACAAUUCAUGAAUUUUGAUACCACUGAUAACGGCUUAGGCGGUUCAUGUAUAUGAUAUACUUCCCAUAGUAGGACUUCUUUUAAAUAUUAUUUAAAAUUGGGAUUUUUUUUUUUAUAGAUAUGAUCCGCAGUUUGGAGUCAUCUCUGAAAGGUGAUUGAAGCCUA